rnacentral:rRNA from 1 species
GCAUAUCAAUAAGCGGAGGAAAAGAAACUAACAAGGAUUCCCCUAGUAACUGCGAGUGAAGCGGGAAAAGCUCAAAUUUAAAAUCUGACGGUCUUUUGGUCGUCCGAGUUGUAAUCUAGAGAAGUGUUAUCCGCGUUGGACCGUGUACAAGUCUCCUGGAAUGGAGCGUCAUAGAGGGUGAGAAUCCCGUCUUUGACACGGACUACCAGUGCUUUGUGAUGCGCUCUCAAAGAGUCGAGUUGUUUGGGAAUGCAGCUCAAAAUGGGUGGUAAAUUCCAUCUAAAGCUAAAUAUUGGCGAGAGACCGAUAGCGAACAAGUACCGUGAGGGAAAGAUGAAAAGAACUUUGGAAAGAGAGUUAAACAGUACGUGAAAUUGCUGAAAGGGAAACGCUUGAAGUCAGUCGCGUUGUCCGGGAAUCAACCUUGCUUUUGCUGGGUGUACUUUCCGGUUGACGGGUCAGCAUCAAUUUUGACCGUUGGAUAAAGUGUAGGGGAAUGUGGCAUCUUCGGAUGUGUUAUAGCCCUUGCUCGCAUACAACGGUUGGGAUUGAGGAACUCAGUACGCCGCAAGGCCGGGAAUUUAUUCUACGUUCGUACUUAGGAUGCUGGCAUAAUGGCUUUAAUCGACCCGUCUUGAAACACGGACCAAGGAGUCUAACAUGCCUGCGAGUGUUUGGGUGGAAAACCCGAGCGCGUAAUGAAAGUGAAAGUUGAGAUCCCUGUCGUGGGGAGCAUCGACGCCCGGACCAGACCUUUUGUGACGGAUCUGCGGUAGAGCAUGUAUGUUGGGACCCGAAAGAUGGUGAACUAUGCCUGAAUAGGGUGAAGCCAGAGGAAACUCUGGUGGAGGCUCGUAGCGAUUCUGACGUGCAAAUCGAUCGUCAAAUUUGGGUAUAGGGGCGAAAGACUAAUCGAACCAUCUAGUAGCUGGUCCUGC